CCUACGGGUGGCUGCAGUGGGGAAUAUUGGACAAUGGGCGAAAGCCUGAUCCAGCAAUGCCGCGUGAGUGAUGAAGGCCCUAGGGUUGUAAAGCUCUUUUACCCGGGAUGAUAAUGACAGUACCGGGAGAAUAAGCUCCGGCUAACUCCGUGCCAGCAGCCGCGGUAAUACGGAGGGAGCUAGCGUUGUUCGGAAUUACUGGGCGUAAAGCGCGCGUAGGCGGUCCAUCAAGUCAGAGGUGAAAGCCCGGGGCUCAACCCCGGAACUGCCUUUGAAACUGGCGGACUAGAAUCUUGGAGAGGUCAGUGGAAUUCCGAGUGUAGAGGUGAAAUUCGUAGAUAUUCGGAAGAACACCAGUGGCGAAGGCGACUGACUGGACAAGUAUUGACGCUGAGGUGCGAAAGCGUGGGGAGCAAACAGGAUUAGAUACCCUUGUAGUC
rnacentral:rRNA from 1 species